CAUGUCAGUCCACUUGGAAUUUUCUAAAAGGCACCUGAGGGACUAUCAUGACCAUGAGAAACAAAAUUGUCUGGUCUGAUGAGACAAAAAUUGAACUCUUUGGUGUGAAAGCCAGGUGUCAUGUUUGGAGGAAACCAGGCACCAUCCCUAUAGUGAAGCAUGUUGGUGGCAGAAUCAUGCUG